rnacentral:rRNA from 1 species
CAGCAGCCGCGCGGGAAUACGUAGGGUGCAAGCGUUAAUCGGAAUUACUGGGCGUAAAGCGUGCGCAGGCGGUUAUAUAAGACAGAUGUGAAAUCCCCGGGCUCAACCUGGGAACUGCAUUUGUGACUGUAUAGCUAGAGUACGGCAGAGGGGGAUGGAAUUCCGCGUGUAGCAGUGAAAUGCGUAGAUAUGCGGAGGAACACCGAUGGCGAAGGCAAUCCCCUGGGCCUGUACUGACGCUCAUGCACGAAAGCGUGGGGAGCAAACAGGAUUAGAUACCCCUGUAGUCCCUGUCUCUUAU